GUGCCCGUGGCGCAACUGGAUAGCGCAUCAGCCUCCGAAGCUGAGGGUUGUGGGUUCAAAUCCCGUCGGGCACA
rnacentral:tRNA from 1 species